rnacentral:misc_RNA from 1 species
AAACGAGGGGAAAAAGAAACCCCAAUUAACCAAAAUUUGCCCUUUGAAGAAGCGCAAUGAGGGAAGAAGUCAUCAGUUCCGGAGGGACCAUGGAUCCCACUCCUGCCGCGAGGUACCAGAUCACUCUUAUCUCCCUCCUUCCUAUCCUCACUGCAUGUACUCACUCACUCUUGAUCUCUUAUUCGGAGUUUUAGUUGUUACAGAUUGCAAUUCACUUCGCUCCUCUGAAAUUAGGGUUUCUGAAAUUUUCCUCUUUUAGUUGUUUCUGCCUCUGCUUCUUUUGGGCUCCUUGAUUUUUGGUUUCUGGAUAGCUGAGGAAAAGAAACGGGACCCUAAUUUUAUAGAUUCAAUUCAGCUGUGCUCAAAACAGUGGUCUUUGUAAUUUGUUUUUCUAUUAUUAUUAUUUUACUUUUCUUAGGAGCCCAACAUGGUAGUGACUAGUGAGGUAAUAAGGACCUUUACAAUUUAGUGGUUUGUGGAGGAAUUUGCUGUGAAAGGCGUGUACGUUUGGUUCCUCUGAAAGUUGAGGAAGAGAAAGGAAAUAAAAUAAAAAAUAUUUUUUUUUUUAAAUCAUGCAAUUAUGUAAAUCUGUGAUGCAUUUUUGUUCUCAUGAAGUACAAUUCUUUAUGGAUGUUGCCUUCCUCCAGUUCCGCUGGGGCAUCCUCACCUGGUGUUCCAGCAAAUGUCGGUAGUGUAGAGAGGUCCAGUCAUGCGCAUACUUCCAAAGCAGCCUCUCUGUCUGUUGCUGGCUCACAAUUACCAAGGACCUCCUUGAGCACCAGUGCUGGUGGUUCUGUUCUGGGAUCAUCAAGGCCUUCAUGUAGGCCAUGGGAAAGAGGGGACCUGCUGAGGCGUUUGGCUACUUUUAAGCCGUCGAAUUGGUGUGGAAAGCCUAAGAUUGCUAAUUCAUUGGCUUGUGCUCAAAGAGGUUGGAUGAAUAUUGACAUUGAUAAAAUUGUGUGUGAAUCAUGUGGUGAAUGCCUGAGUUUUGUUUUGCUACCAUCCUGGAUCCCUUCUGAAGUUGAAAGUGCUAGUGAAGCAUUCGCCAAGCAGUUGGAUGAUGGCCACCAAGCCAGCUGUCCUUGGAGAGGUAACAGCUGUCCUGAUAGCUUGGUGCAGUUCCCUCCAACUCCUCAAUCUGCUCUAAUUGGAGGAUAUAAAGACAGAUGUGAUGGGCUCUUGCAAUUUCAUUUUCUUCCUAUUGUUGCUGCAUCUGCAGUUAAGCAGAUGCGGGUUUCUUGGGGUCCAGUGGUUGAUCGCUUUUUGUCCCAGUCACAGAAUUUUACUUCUGGAGAAGGAGACUUCAAGUCAGAGGGCAUACCAGAACUUGAGACCUCUAGAGAUGGGAACUCCUGUUUGUAUUCUCAUGCCCAAAAGCUUAUAAGUCUCUGUGGGUGGGAACCAAGAUGGCUCCUAAACAUUCAAGACUGUGAAGAACAUUCCACUCAAUCAGCUCGCAAUGGGUGUUCUUUUGGGUGUUCUUUUGGUCCUGCCCAGGCCCAAGUCCAUCUUUCACAUGAUCCUGGUCUAAGCAAGAAAGCGCAUUCUGCUUCCGCAAAAAAAGACGCUGGAAAGAAUAAACUGUUAGCUGAGUCAAGAUGUGAUUCCAGGUCACCCUUACUAGAUUGUAGCUUAUGUGGUGCUACUGUUAGGAUAUUGGAUUUCUUGACUGUUCCCCGACCUGCUCGUUUUCCUUCCAACAACAUUGAUAUUCCUGAUGCUAGCAAAAAAAUGGCACUGACACGUGGGGUAAGUGCUGCCAGUGGAAUUAGUGGUUGGGUUGCUGCUGAUGAUACAGAUAAGGAACAUACCGAAGACCGUGAUGAGGUGGCAACAACGGACAAGGGUAAAUCACUGCAAAACACAGAAGUUGAUCUGAAUCUUACUAUGGCAGGAGGCUUACCUUUUACUCAGGCAGACAGGGUAGCAAUACCUGAGAAUGUUCAUGAUGUUGAAAUGGGGAGAGAUUUAAUGAUAGGUCAGCCUGCAGGCAGCGAGGUUGGUGAUCGUGCUGCUUCAUAUGAAUCUCGAGGGCCUAGUUCUCGUAAGCGGAGCUUGGAAAUAGGUGGCAGCUCAGAUGAUAGGCCUCACUUGAUGCAACCUGCUGAUAGCGUAGAGGGAACUGUCAUUGAUCGCGAUGGUGAUGAAGUCACAGAUGGUAGACAAUUUUCAGCUGGACCUUCAAAACGCGCUCGUGACUCAGAUUUUUUUGAUACACACUGUUCACCAUAUCAGAGAGACUCAUCUGGUGCUGGUCCUAGCCAUUCAGUGGGUAUGGAAAUUCAUGCAGAUGGAAACAGAGUUAAUUUGUUUCGCCAAGGAAGUGACCAAGUUUUUGGAAUCCCAUCAGCAAGGGAUUCGACACGUGCAUCGUCUGUCAUUGCAAUGGAUACAGUCUGUCAUAGCGCAGAUGAUGAUUCUAUGGAAAGUGUUGAAAACUACCCUGGAGAUAUUGAUGAUGUUCAUUUCCCCUCUUCCAGUAUGUACGGGAAUCUGGACAUGAAUGAGACGUCUGAACUGAAUUACAGCAAUCAAGCCCAGCAAAGCAUUUGUUUCAGACGUGCUGCUGCAGUAGCUCCUGGUGAAAUGGGUGUCAGUAGUACAAAUGAUGGUGAAGAGAUUUUCAAUGCAGAAACAGUCACAGCUCAGGCUCGGGAUGGUCCUAGUUUUGGUAUUAGUGGAGGCAGUGUAGGCAUGUGUGCUAGUCAUGAAGCUGAAAUUCAUGGGGCUGAUGUUUCUGUCCAUAGAACUGAUAGUGUAGUUGGUGAUGUGGAACCCAGAAUAGAAGAUGUUGAAAAUCAAGGUCAGACUGGUGAAUCUGCCCCUGAUCCUGGAUUAAUGGAUGAGGUUGUUCCUGAUGAAACAAACAGGGAAGAUCCUCAUGGUGAUAGCCAGGAGAUGUUGUCUCGAUCUAUAGAAAGGGCUGAUAGUGGCUCAAAAAUAGAUGGUUCUACUGCAAAGGCUGAAUCUGUUGAAAGUGGUGAAAAGGAAGCAAGUCAAAGCUGCAAGUUAGCUCUAGAUAGCAAUGUCCGCCCUUCUCUUUCCUGCAAUGCAAAUAUGUACUCUGGCUAUCAAACAACUAAGAAAGGGGUCAGCAAGGCUGGAAAGUUAUCCUCUACAAACAAUUGUCCAUGCAUGGAGUCAGAUUAUGCUAUUGCCAAUGGGAUAGGGCCUCCAAAAGGUGAAAGCAACUAUGAAGAGGCUAUAGAGUUUGAUCCAAUUAUUCAUCACAAUCAGUUCUGUCCAUGGGUGAAUGGAAAUGUUGCUGCUGCUGGUUGUAGUAGCCGUGGUUCUGGCAACAAUGCUGAUGCAGAUGCACUCUGUGGGUGGCAGCUGACGUUGGAUGCGCUGGAUGCACUGCGAUCACUUGGGCAUAUUCCAAUUCAAACAGUACAAUCCGAGUCAGCAGCAUCAUUAUACAAGGAUGAUCAUCAAACUCCUGGUCAAAAGCUCCUUAGACGGCAUUCUAUGAGCAGAAGCCAUGGGCAUUGUUGAUAUUUAAUCAGAAUAGCAAAGGUGCUUGCAAUUAUUAAUAAGGUUGCAUCAACUCAACUGAAAUUUGCCCUGAGCUUCCUGCGGUAAUGCACCUUUUUGCAUGUAAUUGUCAUUGACCAGAAUGAAGCAGUUUGUGCUGUCCCAUUUUUAUUUGAUGAAUUGAAUUGGAACUACUCAAGAGAGAGAGGAUUGAAACUCCUUUAAAAUUCCAUUAAGUUGUUUGAAAGAACAAAAUACUUGUAUGUUGGGUUGAAUUGAAUGUACACAAGUAAAAUAAAGAAAAUUUAGGGAUGUUUUUGGGUUUUGAUAGCUGGAUUCUUAAAGUGAAGUCAUGUCAUUAUGGAUGGAGAAGAAGACCAAAAGUGGAGAAGAACCCAAGUUUGGAGGACAUAAAAAAAAAAGGAAAUGAACGAUGCUGCCAUGUCUGUAGGAACGUAUGCGGAAUAAACAAGCAUAUAUUUGAUUAGAAAAUCUCCAAUUGUCUGUCCGUGUUGUUGGGUCAGCCGAACAGACUUGAUCAUUCAAAAUUCAUAACCUCACUAUGGAUCUCUCUCAAAAUCCAAUUUUUAUGUGCGAAGUUCUUUUCAAGAAUGCAAUAACAUAAUUUAUCAAGUAUAAUUUCUGAGGCUAAUGCUGUGUAGGAUGAAACUGCAUCAGUAUUGGAAGUGCAAUCUGGUACUUAUUUUUCUUAUUGGAUGAAGAGCUGCUGCCGGUGAAACUUCUAGCAAUCUUGGCUUUAUUUCCUUACCAUUUUUCCCUCUUUACGGUUGGAUAAUUAAUAUUAUGUUAAGAAAAAUUUGAGGUGCUGGUUUAUGCAGCACAAUUUGCCCGUUCUUGUUUGUUAACUACUUAAAUUUUGCCUAUUGUUAUUGUUACUACCUCAUUCAAUCAAUGAUGUGAUGAACCACCAAAUUUAAUCAAGGUCCUUUGGAUUUUAAUUGCUGUAAUUUUUGUUUGGUUCUCUAGUAGUAAAGUUUGGAAACCAUAAUGGAAGUCGCAAU